AUGGAAGGAGAGGAAAUUGGUGUUAAGAUAUCCGAAGUAUCGGAAGUUCAGGCCAUGAAUAAUUCUCUGGGUGCUGCUAGUAUAAUUCCAGGGUUUCGACGGUCAUGUACAUGUGCCACAUGCAGAAUUGCAGGUACAAAAGAGAGGUAUUCUGGCUCCAUGUCUUUGUUGCAGUUUCCUUUGCAGGCCCAGAUCAAGAGAUCACAAUAUGUUUUCAUGCGUUAUACUAAUAGGCAAAGAGGUAAUGCAGUCAUUUUUUUUCCUACCCCUGAACCCAUGGAUCAAACAAGAACAAGAACAACAACUUGCAAUCAAAUUCCUACUAGAACUUGCUCAAGAAAUACCAUACCACCAGUGAUUAAUCAUCAGACCCCAAACAAGGAAUGA
rnacentral:rRNA from 1 species